rnacentral:tRNA from 1 species
GCCUGGGUGGCUCAGAGGUUGAGCGUCUGCCUUUGGCGCAGGGUGUGAUCCUGGAGAUCCGGGAUGGAGUCCCACCUCAGGCU